rnacentral:rRNA from 1 species
CUGGCUCAGGAUGAACGCUAGCGGCAGGCCUAACACAUGCAAGUCGAGGGGUAACAGGAAAAGCUUGCUUUUUUGCUGACGACCGGCGCACGGGUGCGUAACGCGUAUGCAAUUUGCCCUAUACUGGGGGAUAGCCCGGAGAAAUCCGGAUUAAUACCCCAUAAUAUUGUUUCUUCGCAUGUUGAGACAAUUAAAGUUCCGGCGGUAUAGGAUAAGCAUGCGUCCUAUUAGCUAGUUGGUAAGGUAACGGCUUACCAAGGCGACGAUAGGUAGGGGGUCUGAGAGGAUGAUCAGCCACACCGGGACUGAGACACGGCCCGGACUCCUACGGGAGGCAGCAGUGGGGAAUAUUGCGCAAUGGGCGAAAGCCUGACGCAGCCAUGCCGCGUGUGUGAAGAAGGGGCCUUCGGGGGUUGUAAAGGCACUUUCAAUUGGGGAAGAAGGGUUGGGUAGGCUAAUACCUGCCAGCUGUGACAUUACCUUUAGAAAGAAGCACC